GGGGGGAGCAAGCGUUGUUCGGAUUUACUGGGCGUAAAGGGCGCGUAGGCGGCCAGCACAAGUCAGUUGUGAAAUCUCCGAGCUUAACUCGGAAAGGUCAACUGAUACUGUGCGGCUAGAGUGCGGAAGGGGCAACUGGAAUUCUUGGUGUAGCGGUGAAAUGCGUAGAUAUCAAGAGGAACACCUGCGGCGAAGGCGGGUUGCUGGGCCGACACUGACGCUGAGGCGCGAAAGCUAGGGGAGCGAACGGGAUUAGAUACCCCGGUAGUCCUAGCCUUAAACGAUGAAUGCUUGGUGUCUGGGGUUAUAAAGUCCCCGGGUGCCGUCGCUAACGCUUUAAGCAUUCCGCCUGGGGAGUACGGUCGCAAGACUG
rnacentral:rRNA from 1 species